GGACUGGGAUAACCCUGGGAAACUGGGGAUAAUACUAGAUAGGCAAUUUUUCCUGGAAUGGUUUUUUGUUUAAAUGUUUUUUCGCCUAAGGAUGGGUCUGCGGCCGAUUAGGUAGUUGGUUAGGUAACGGCUUACCAAGCCAUUGAUCGGUACGGGUUGCGAGAGCAAGAGCCCGGAGAUGGAACCUGAGACAAGGUUCCAGGCCCUACGGGGUGCAGCAGGCGCGAAACCUCCGCAAUGUGAGAAAUCGCGACGGGGGGAUCCCAAGUGCCAUUCUUAACGGGAUGGCUUUUCAUUAGUGUAAAAAGCUUUUGGAAUAAGAGCUGGGCAAGACCGGUGCCAGCCGCCGCGGUAACACCGGCAGCUCUAGUGGUAGCAAUUUUUAUUGGGCCUAAAGCGUCCGUAGCCGGUUUAAUAAGUCUCUGGUGAAAUCCUGUAGCUUAACUGUGGGAAUUGCUGGAGAUACUAUUAGACUUGAGACCGGGAGAGGUUAGAGGUACUCCCAGGGUAGAGGUGAAAUUCUGUAAUCCUGGGAGGACCGCCUGUUGCGAAGGCGUCUAACUGGAACGGUUCUGACGGUGAGGGACGAAAGUUAGGGGCGCGAACCGGAUUAGAUACCCGGGUAGUCCUAACUGUAAACGAUGCGGACUUGGUGUUGGGGUGGCUUUGAGCUGCUCCAGUGCCGAAGGGAAGCUGUUAAGUCCGCCGCCUGGGAAGUACGGUCGCAAGACUGAAACUUAA
rnacentral:rRNA from 1 species